UACGUAGGGUGCAAGCGUUGUCCGGAAUUAUUGGGCGUAAAGAGCUUGUAGGCGGUUUGUCGCGUCUGCUGUGAAAUUUCGGGGCUCAACCCCGAACUUGCAGUGGGUACGGGCAGACUAGAAUUCGGUAGGGGAGACUGGAAUUCCUGGUGUAGCGGUGGAAUGCGCAGAUAUCAGGAGGAACACCGGUGGCGAAGGCGGGUCUCUGGGCCGAGAUUGACGCUGAGGAGCGAAAGCGUGGGGAGCGAACAGG
rnacentral:rRNA from 1 species